rnacentral:tRNA from 1 species
GAGGGUACAGCUCCAGUGGUAGAGCACAUGCUUAGCACGCAUGAGGUCCUGGGUUCAAUCCCCAGUACCUCCA